GUGUGUAGUAGCUCAGCUGGUAGAGCGCGACCUUGCCAAGGUCGAGGUCACGAGUUCGAACCUCGUAACUCGCUCCA
rnacentral:tRNA from 2 species